GCCGUUCUCAGUUCGGAUCGGAGUCUGCAACCCGACUCCGUGAAGCUGGAUUCGCUAGUAAUCGCGCAUCAGCCAUGGCGCGGUGAAUACGUUCCCGGGCCUUGUACACACCGCCCGUCAAGCCAUGGGAGCCGGGGGNGCUUGAAGUGCGUGCCGCAAGGCGCGCCCUAGAGCGAAACCGGUGACUGGGGCUAAGUCGUAACAAGGUACC
rnacentral:rRNA from 1 species